AUUGAACGCUGGCGGCAGGCUUAACACAUGCAAGUCGAGCGAGCGGCGGACGGGUGAGUAAUGUCUGGGAAACUGCCUGAUGGAGGGGGAUAACUACUGGAAACGGUAGCUAAUAACGCAUACCAGAAGAUGUGCACAGAUGGGAUUAGAUAGUAGGUGGGGGAAUGGCUCACCUAGGCGACGAUCCCUAGCUGGUCUGAGGGGAGGACCUGCCACAUGCGAACUUGGACCCGGUCCAGACUCCUACGGGAGUCAGCAGGGGUGUAUAUUGCACAAUGGGCGCAAGCUCGAUGCAGCCAUGCGGCGGGUGUGAAGAAGGCCUUCGGGUUGUAAAGCACUUUCAGCGAGGAGGCGUUACUCGCAGAAGAAGCACCGGCUAACUCCGUGCCAGCAGCCGCGGUAAUUC
rnacentral:rRNA from 1 species